GACAGAGGGUGCAAACGUUGUUCGGAUUUACUGGGCGUAAAGCGCGUGUAGGCGGCUUGGCAAGUCGGAUGUGAAAGCCCACGGCUCAACCGUGGAAGCGCAUCUGAAACUGCUUCGCUCGAGUCUCGGAGAGGAAGGUGGAAUGCUUGGUGUAGAGGUGAAAUUCGUAGAUAUCAAGCAGAACACCUGCGGCGAAGGCGGCCUUCUGGACGAUGACUGACGCUGAGACGCGAAAGCGUGGGGAGCAAACAGG
rnacentral:rRNA from 1 species